GCAUUUAGUCUUGCCAAGAUGGAGAGUCUCAGGCGGGCAUUCUGAGCUGCUUCUUGUCACUGGGGAAAACCACGUGCACGCAGUGCUGAGGCGCCCCACGCGCGUCCUCAGGGGAAGCCAGGCACUGAGAACAAAGGUUGUGGGACCGCUCUUUGAGGAACUCACCAGCUCCGCGAGCUCGCGGCCGCCAGCGCGGUCCACCCAUUGGCGGGAGAGGACUCACAGACCGCAGCUCCUCACCCCGCCUGCUCCGCAGCGGGACCGCGUAGACCUCAGCUCCCCGAGCAGCGCAGGUCUGCCAAGGACCAUGGGUGCCGCGCUGGGGACAGGCACGCGGCUGGCUCCCUGGCCGGGCCGGGCCUGCGGCGCCCUCCCGCGCUGGACACCCACCGCGCCCGCCCAAGGCUGCCACUCCAAGCCUGGCCCGGCGCGCCCUGUGCCCCUGAAGAAGCGCGGAUACGAUGUCACCAGGAACCCUCAUCUCAACAAGGGGAUGGCCUUUACCCUUGAAGAAAGGCUGCAGCUUGGAAUCCACGGCCUAAUCCCGCCCUGCUUUCUGAGCCAGGACGUCCAGCUCCUCCGAAUCAUGAGAUAUUACGAGCGGCAGCAGAGUGACCUGGACAAGUACAUCAUUCUCAUGACACUCCAAGACCGGAACGAGAAGCUCUUCUACCGAGUGCUGACUUCGGACGUGGAGAAGUUCAUGCCAAUCGUGUACACGCCUACCGUGGGGCUGGCCUGUCAGCACUAUGGCCUGACUUUCCGCAGGCCCCGUGGACUGUUCAUCACCAUUCAUGACAAAGGUCAUCUUGCAACAAUGCUGAAUUCUUGGCCAGAAGACAAUAUUAAGGCCGUGGUGGUGACUGAUGGGGAGCGCAUCCUGGGCCUGGGAGACCUGGGCUGCUACGGCAUGGGCAUCCCUGUGGGCAAGCUGGCCCUGUACACGGCAUGCGGAGGGGUGAACCCGCAGCAGUGCCUCCCUGUGCUGCUGGACGUCGGCACCAACAAUGAGGAGCUGCUCAGAGACCCUCUGUACAUCGGCCUGAAACACCAGCGCGUGCACGGGAAGGCAUACGAUGACUUGCUGGAUGAGUUCAUGCAGGCUGUGACAGACAAGUUUGGAAUAAAUUGCCUCAUCCAAUUUGAAGACUUCGCCAAUGCCAAUGCCUUCCGCCUGCUCAACAAAUACCGUAACAAGUACUGCAUGUUCAAUGAUGACAUCCAAGGCACAGCCUCCGUUGCUGUGGCAGGGAUCUUGGCUGCUCUGCGAAUCACCAAGAACAAGCUUUCCAAUCACGUGUUUGUUUUCCAAGGUGCAGGCGAGGCAGCUAUGGGCAUUGCCCACCUCCUUGUCAUGGCCCUAGAGAAAGAAGGUGUACCGAAGGCAGAGGCCACAAGAAAGAUCUGGAUGGUGGACUCUAAAGGGCUCAUUGUCAAGGGGAGGAGCCACCUGAACCAUGAAAAGGAGAUGUUUGCCCAAGACCAUCCUGAAGUCAACUCCCUGGAGGAGGUGGUGAGGCUGGUGAAGCCCACAGCCAUCAUAGGUGUUGCUGCCAUCGCAGGAGCCUUCACGGAGCAGAUUCUGAGGGACAUGGCCUCCUUCCACGAGCGCCCUAUCAUCUUUGCCCUGAGCAACCCCACCAGCAAGGCCGAGUGCACGGCUGAGAAGUGCUACCGGGUCACCGAGGGCCGAGGGAUUUUUGCCAGUGGAAGUCCUUUUAAGAGUGUGACUCUGGAAGAUGGCAAGACCUUCAUUCCUGGGCAGGGAAACAAUGCUUACGUGUUCCCCGGGGUGGCACUGGGAGUCAUCGCCGGCGGGAUCCGGCACAUCCCAGAUGAGAUCUUCCUCCUGACAGCAGAGCAAAUUGCCCAGGAAGUCUCUGAGCAGCAUCUGUCCCAGGGGAGACUCUACCCACCACUCAGCACCAUCCGAGACGUGUCUUUGAGAAUUGCCAUCAAAGUUCUCGACUACGCGUACAAACACAACCUGGCUUCCUACUACCCAGAGCCUAAGGACAAGGAGGCUUUUGUAAGAUCCCUGGUCUACACUCCAGACUAUGACUCCUUUACACUGGACAGCUACACUUGGCCCAAGGAAGCCAUGAAUGUUCAGACGGUCUGAGGCAGUCUCAGAGGCUAGUAUGGGGCUAGAUGAAGCCCAGAGUAACACCCACAAUAUAAAUGGGUUCCAAAAUGGCCCAAGUGAAUCCUUGUCGCUGUGUUUUUUCUUUUAAACUUUCUGGUGUGAGAGGAGAUGCCAAGGCAUACAGUGAAUAAAAGCCUUGUCUCUGAAGGCCCUGGGAGUUCACUUUUCUGAACCCUCCUCUGAGUUCCUUCCUAAGCAUUUCUUCAACCAUUAAUCACCAACUACUGGCCAGGCCUUGUGGGAAAUGCAGAAUCUCAUCUAGAAUCCUGCCUUUACAGAGCUCGGGAUCUAGUGGAGGAGAUUGGACACAAUUCAUUUUGCCAUAAGGGAGAAAGUGAUGUUCUCUGAGAAGACACCCCAGUAAUCCUCUGGAUGCGAAUCUCAGAUUCAGUGUCUAUUUCCUGAGGAACCCAACUUAUAACACGUAGAAGAAACUGGCCAAAGUUCUUAAUUUUCCAAUUUGUUGCACCAGCCCCACGUGACCACCAAAAGCUUUUCUGGGUUUCCCUUUCCCUCAGGAGAGACCCUCUUCACAGACCAAGCUUGAUCCUUAUUAGUCCAUGUCCAGAAUCAGUAAAUGUCCCUAGAAAAUAAAAUGGCCACUUACCUCAGGAGGACUCCUCCCUCUCUGGAAUUCCCAUUCACCUAGUCCUUAUUGCUUUCAUAGCUCUCACAUAUCUUUAAAUAUGAUCUUUAUAAUUUUUCCAUCUUUUUCUAGUUGUUGCAGGCAAAGUUUUAGGCUGCCAUGACCUACUAUAUCCUAUUUAGAAGUGGAAGUCUCUAGAGAGAUUUUCAAAAUUACAGAUGUGUGGAUAUUAGCUUUUCUCCUAAUUUAAUUGAAUUGUGGUGAGAGAAGGUGUUCUGUAUUAUUCAAAUAGCUUAAAAUUUGCUGAAAUGGGUUUAUAAUCAAAUAUAUGGUCAAAUUUAAUAGUUCAUGUACUCUUAUAAAUAUGUAUUCUCCCAUUGUUGGAUGCAAUGCCCUUUGUAUGUUCAUGGGAUCAAGUUUGUUGACUGUUUUGUGUAAAUCUAUAUGCAAAAUCUUGAUUUUUGUCUACUUGAUCUGCUUCUGAAAGAGGAACAAUAAAACUUCCCACUGCUACGGUAAA